ensembl:snoRNA SNORA70 Small nucleolar RNA SNORA70
CUGCAGCCAAUUAAGCCGACCGUCCUCCUUGUGGGGGCUGAUGUGCAAUAGCUGCAAACAGCAAGCCUCCUCGGUAGUGUAUGCAGCCUAUUGGUAUGUAUAAGCUGCCCUAAGGGACCUUGGAGACAACC